GAUUGCAAGUGGGUCUACAAAAUAAAAAGGAAAGCUGAUGGAGAGAUUGACAGAUACAAAGCACGACUGGUUGCAAAAGGAUUCAAACAAAGAUAUGGGAUUGAUUAUGAAGACACAUUUAGUCUAGUUGUGAAAGCAGCAACAAUUCGAUUGAUUCUUGCGGUAGCUGUGUCCAACAAUUGGAGUCUUCGUCAACUAGAUGUGAAGAACGCGUUUCUCCAAGGUGUUCUAGAAGAGACUGUGUAUAUGAGGCAACCUCCAGGGUAUGAAGAUCCGACUAGGAGACAAUAUGUAUGUAAAUUGGAUAAAGCUCUCUAUGGCCUGAAAUAG
rnacentral:rRNA from 1 species